rnacentral:rRNA from 1 species
AAUCAACGCUGGCGGCGUGCCUAACACAUGCAAGUCGAACGCGAAAGCCCCGCAAGGGGUAAGUAGAGUGGCAAACGGGUGAGUAACGCGUGGGUGACCUGCCUUCGAGCGGGGGAUAACGUUCCGAAAGGGACGCUAAUACCGCAUAACAUCCUGCUUUUCAAGAAGUGGUGAUCAAAGCGGCGUAGCAAUACGUCGCACUCGAAGAGGGGCCCGCGUCCGAUUAGCUAGUUGGUGAGGUAACGGCUCACCAAGGCAACGAUCGGUAGC